rnacentral:lncRNA from 13 species
UUGUUCACUGUCCCUCCACUUGUCACAGCGCCACUUAGCGUGCUCUGUCUAGACUGCCUCACAAGGCUGGGCACGGUGGCUUACACCUGUAAUCCCAGCAUUUUGAAAGGCUGAGGUGGGUGGAUCACUUGAGGCCAGGAGUUUGAGGCUAGCCUGGCCAACAUGGUGAAACCCCAUCUCUACUAAAAAUACAAAAAAUAGCUGGGUGUUGUGGCACAUGCCUAUAAUUCCAGCUACUUGGGAGGCUGAGGCAAGAGAAUCACUGGAACCCAGGAGGUGGGGUUUGCAGUGAGCUGAGAUUGUGCCACUGCACAAGAGUGUGACAGUGUGAGACUGUUGCAAAAAAAUUUUUGUAAUAAAAAUAAAAAACUGAAUCACAAAAACUGAGAGCCCAGGACAGGGAAGGUGUAGUUGAGCAGAUGCCCUGUGGAAACGCCACAGGUGUGACUCAGCCGUGGACACAGUGAAAGUGGGUGCUACCCACAACCAUUCCCAAAGCUUGAAUCUAUAAACCCCGGACUCCUGAGCCACCAAUUUGAACAUCCACGUAUUUAUGUCAAAGCGUCCUUCCCUUUUCCGGUUGAGCUACAACACAAAUUCAAGACUCCUGGCCAUUUCCAUACACCCUCUGCUUCGGAGACAUUAUUAAGCUACUUAUAAUUAGGAAUAAUAACGCCUGCAGAUGCAUUUUAAUGUAGCCCACAAAAGGAGCUGUGUGGGUUUCUUUGUCACCCCACACUAAAGCAAACAACUCUUCCCCUGUUGCCUAGAUCCAACUGCUUCACUUUCCAAUAGCUGCUCGACAGAUGAGGGACCUGCUGACAGGCAGGUCAGAGUGAGCUGAACAACUCCCAGGCACAAAGGACAAAAGGAUCCGAAACGUGGAGGGACUCACUGGAGGUCCCCGGCAGCUGGCUGAAUUGUCUGGCUCUACACGAGGUUGCACACAGACUGCGGCUGGAACAAUGAGUGAUGUCACUGCCGAACAGCUGUGUAGAGAAACCGGAUCAUCCUCCAACCUUCAGUUCCAUAUCUACACAACGGAGGGGAAAAACCUACAUCUCAGAGAGACUGUGACACUCAGAUGCACAGACCCUUCGAGGUCCAUCCCAGACACGGCACAGACUGGCCUAAACCCGGUACACCGACAUUUCACUCCAGAUUUGCCCUUUCUUGCCUGUGUGGCCUCCAGAAAGUGCUUGACUUCCCUGGACCACAGAAUGUAGGUAAUGAGGAGGAUUAAAUGAGUGAGAGCUCCACGUGAAUGCACCAAUGGGAGAUUCACAUAGACAUUUAAAAGUACGGCCCCUGCCUUGCGUCCAGCUUUUUCUGAUUCUUCCAAAGCAAAUUUUCCUGUCCCCAGGCCUUUCUGGAAUAUGACUUGAUUUGUCAAGAAAGUAAGACUUUUUCACCCUUUCCACGGUGGACUGAAACUGAACUGGUAGCCAUCAGAGAUACUUUGGAGGCAAUUUUGGAAUCAGUUUUGAUUAGUUCAAGAAGUUAUUCUUGGACAUGCUCCCCAUGAAUUAAACGUUCA